rnacentral:rRNA from 1 species
UAGAUGCGAGAGUAGAGCAUAUCAAUAAGCGGAGGAAAAGAAACUAACAAGGAUUCCCCUAGUAACGGCGAGUGAAGCGGGAAGAGCUCAAAUUUGAAAUCUUCAAGGGUUUCCCUUGACGAAUUGUAGUUUAAAGAAGUGUUUUCUGUUAGAGAGGUGGUAAAAGUUCUUUGGAAUAGGACAUCAUAGAGGGCGAGAAUCCCGUAUUUGAUCACUUUCUACUAACGUUGUGAUACACUUUCGAAGAGUCGGAUUGUUUGGGAAUGCAGUCCAAAAUGGGUGGUAAAUUUCAUCUAAAGCUAAAUAUUGGCGAGAGACCGAUAGCGAACAAGUACCGUGAGGGAAAGAUGAAAAGAACUUUGAAAAGAGAGUUAAACAGUACGUGAAAUUGUCAAAAGGGAAGCGUUUGACACCAGUGUUGUUUUUCCGAAAAUCAAUUAUGAAUGGCUUGAUUUUAAGUUUCAUGACCUUAAAAGCUUGUUUCUUAUUUUUCAUGUCUUUCGUAAUGCACUUUUCGGUUAACAAGUCAACAUCAAUUUCCUUUGCUGUAAAAAGGUAAGAGGAAGGUGGCUUCAAUUUCGGUUGAAGUGUUUAUAGCCUUUUAUCUCUGCAGUCGGGGAGAUUGAGGUCUGCAGCGUAGAUCCUUCGGGGCUAAAUGCAUUUGUGCUAAGUUAUAGCAUUUUAUAGACAACUUGUUGACUAUGAUUUGUCUUGUAGCUUACUCGCUUAUGUUAUUUUACCUACGCUUAGGAUGUUGAGCGCAUGUCUCUCUCU